UACGUAGGGGGCCAGCGUUGUCCGGAUUUACUGGGCGUAAAGGGCGCGUAGGCGGCCUGUCAAGUCAACUGUGAAAUCUCCGGGCUUAACUCGGAACGGUCAGUUGAUACUGUCAGGCUAGAGUGCAGAAGGGGCAAUCGGAAUUCUUGGUGUAGCGGUGAAAUGCGUAGAUAUCAAGAGGAACACCUGAGGUGAAGACGGGUUGCUGGGCUGACACUGACGCUGAGGCGCGAAAGCCAGGGGAGCAAACGGG
rnacentral:rRNA from 1 species